rnacentral:lncRNA from 1 species
AAUUCACCUGCAAAUGUCUUCUUCUCUGCAUUUUACUGAGCUUCUGUUAAGAUCUUGUUGUCCGGGGACCAAAUCCAUCAACUCUCGCCAUGUUUUGAGAUCUCUGCUCCGUUCAAAGGUGUUUAUGGCUUUAGAAAGGCUGAAUCUGAGGUGUCUUUGUUGGGAUUUUAGUGUCAAUCUUCUUUUACCUUCGUUCUAGCUUCGGUGUAAGCGGUGUGCGAUGGUGGCGUGGUGGUGUGUGGAAAACAGAACAUGUCUAACAUCUUUGAGAAGUUUCAGGUUGCUUGUCCCGCUCUAGGAAAGAGUCAUUGUCACGGCCUUUGGAUAAGUGUAUUUCUCGGUUUGUCUUUUGCUCUCGUGUUCCUCGGGUGCUUCGGCUAAUCGAAGCAGUAUAAUGAGGUUGAGGGUAGUAAGGUUUCUGAUGAAGGUUCGUUUGAGGAGGGAGCUUGCCCCAGUUGUAGUUCUUCUCUGGUUGGUAUAUGAUGUUAUUCUUGUUGGUUUUGGCUUGGUACUGUGAACUGGAGGUUCAUGUAAGUUUAGUUAUGUUUCGUUGUUAAGGCCACCGCAUCGCUUCCUCUCUCGUCAAGAGUUCCGGCUGUUCAAACCGUAAAAGAAUUAAUAUUGUUAUCCCUUGUCAAAUAUUGUCUUUAGCUUUGGUUAUAUGAGUCUAGAGUUCUCUUGUGUUGAUUGUAGUUUUAUCAAGUGUCACUCUUUAUUUGGGUUUAAGUCACCCGUUGUUUGGAUUCAUGUCUCCCUGUUGUGGGUUUAGGAUCUCAUUCUUGUAUGUUCUGUUCUCCAAGUUUUUUUAAUCAAAACCAGUUGGGGAAAAAAAACUAGAAAUCAACAAAAGAUAAAAUGAUGUAACUUGGAAAGAUAAAAUCAACCGACUCUUCUUUCCCCUAAUGAAGAAAGGUUCUUCUGUCAAUAUGUAUUUUUCAUUUUUUUUAAAAAUUAGGUUAAGAGACACCAUUGGAAACCGCGAUAAUGAUGCUCUUAUUAUUGAGGUAAAUAAUACUAUUAAUAAUCUAAAAAGUUUUUUUAGUAUAAGAAAUUAAGAAUAGUUCAAAGGAUUAGACACAAAGUCAGGUCCGUCCUUGCUAUAAGGCAAGUAAAGCACAUGCUUUAGGCCACAAGAUAUAUAACCAAUUUUAGGGCCACAUUUGUAUUUCAGAUUCAGCCAUAUUCAAUGAUUUGAAGCACUGUUAUGUUGUUUGUAUUACUAUUUUCCAUUAGUAUUUAUAUAAAAGGCCACAUAAUUUUUAUUGUGCUUUAGGCCACAUCAAAUUUUGGGACGGCACUGCACAAAGUAUCUGGCUUGCCCCCAUGCCUAACUUACAUGUAACUUACUUUCGUAAUGGAUUAUUAAUUAACUUCAAGGAACCAUUUAGCAAGUAAAAGUCCAAUGAACACGCCCCCUGGAAGAUGUAUACAAAACCUACGUAAUGUUUUAAAAUUUGUAUUCAUUGUUCGGAAAAAAACAAUAACUCCAUUAGCUUACAAAUUUGUAAGGAUUAAUUACUUUCAAGAUUAAAUCCUAUAAAAUAUUGCCAUCCUUUAAAAAAGUUAUAUUGCAAAGUCUUAAAUCCUUGAACUUGUUUCCAGAAUUUUAAACUCAACAAUCAAUCUUAAAAAACUACUUUCCAAUUUCUCUGUGUUAGAAAAUCUGGAGUAGUCAACUGAAAAAUAUGUCAAAUAUAUACGUUACUAGAUAUAUAUAUAAGCAAUAGAAGUUAAUAAAAUAUACAUAAGAAGUUAUAUAUUGACAAUAUAGCAUAUUUUGGUCAACUAUCAAUAAUUUAUUAAGGAAUUAUCUUAUAACUAGUGUUACUUUAAACGAAUUCUUCAUGUAAAAAACAUUAUAAAUAUCAACAUCAUAUAAUGCAUCAAAUACACUAUAGACUUGUGUACAUUGCUCUCUUGGCUCUUUUUGCAGUCUCUUUAAAAUGUUGUUAUUGCCAAAAUGAAACUUUAGCUGCCGGCUGGGGCAACGCUGGUGUUACUUGGUACGGUGAGCCUGAGGGCGCCGGUAGCACAGGUACGUAUCACCAUUUGCAACAACAUAUAUAUAAUUUGGUUCUUCUAAUAAUUGGAUUUAAAUGAAGUAUAUAUAUGUUAAUAUCUAUAUAGGAGGAGCUUGUGGAUAUGGGAUGGCAGUGGCUAACCCACCGUUAUACGCGAUGGUUUCAGCCGGAGGCCCUUCACUAUUCAACAAUAAAAAUCCCGGGCGUAGCCCGGGUUAAUCCCUAGUUUUUAUUAAUAUGUAAGCAAAUUCUAAAACACCAGUAUUUCAAAUACAGAGGGAGUAGAUCCAAAGGGAUUUCCACAUUGAAAAAUUCAUUUAGGUAAAUAUGAAACUAUUAUGGAAAUUUAUUUACAAUAUAUUGACGAUAUCAUAAAAUAAUUAGAGUUAGUGAUUAUAUCAUAAGUAAAACAAUAUAUUCAUUGACUGAGAUAAAAUAACAUAUUAUUAAGUCCAAAACAUGCACAAAAUUCAUUCUAAUUAUUUAAAACACUCACGAUAUCACACACUCCAGUUAUUUAGAGUUUUGUUCCAAUGUCAAUUUUCAAACAAGCCUCCACCAUAUAUAUCAUUAUAAAAACGAGGAAUUAGACAAACUCUAUUUAAAAUUUAUAGUCCAAUCAGUGAAGAAGAGUGGGAAAGAAAGAAAAAAAAGAAGAAGUUUAUUUAUUGAGGUGUAAAAUGAAUGUUUAGGUAGAGGGAGCUUCCCAACCAGAAUUAGAGGAGAUAAAGUUGCCGCGUCCUUCUCCCAAAAUCGAACGCUCUUUCUUUAUUUCAUAUAUUCAUCUUCUUCUCCUCGUCAAUCGAAUCCUUUGGGAGGAAUCAAUCACUCUUUUCUCCGGUAAAAUCUCUGCCUCUAUCUCUCCCUUUUUGUUUUUUUUUUUUUCUUUCCUGAUUAUAUUGAAUCACUAAUGAUUGUUAGGUUGUUACGAUUGUCUUGUAUGGAUUCCCUUUUGAGUUUCUGAUCGAUCACCAAUGGAAAGUUUGUUGUCAUUUUGUUGAAACAUAUUUUGAGCAAUGGAUCUGACCAUUUUUCUCCAGAAAAUAAAACAAACCACCCCAAAAAACUAUUGCUGAAAAUGCAGUGGAAUGGGGUGAGGAGAGCCCAUUCUUUAUGGUGCUGCAAGACACUAACAAACAACACUCAUUUGCAUCAUGCUUAUGUUCCAGUCACCACCAUGUCGAGUUUGGAGGAGCCACUUGCUUUUGACAAGCUGCCAAGUAUGAACACCAUCGACAGGAUCCAGAGGUUUUCAUCCGGUGGUGCCUGUCGCCCCAGGGAUGAUGAUGUCGGCAUGGGUCACCGUUGGAUCCAGGGAAGAGAUUGCACCACCUCUAACUGUUGCAAUGAUGAUGAUGAUAAGAGCUUUGGUAAAGAGUCAUUCCCGUGGAAAAGGCAUACUCGGAAAGUAUCUGAAGGAGAGAUUCUACUUCGGAGUAUUUCAUUCUCAGGAAGAAACUCCUCCUCCUCCACAGUUUCUGGGACUGUUUCCAAAAGUUUUCAGGAGCAUAAGUUUCACACCUUUAGCAAUGACAAUGGCAUCUCACAUUCAAGUAACAAAGUAAUUUUCUUUAUGCUGGAAAAUUGUUUUUUCUUUUUUUUUAAACGUGCCUCCAAAAUGAUUCAUAUUCUAAUAUUUAUGUAUGGCACUCAGCUGGUUAGAGGGGUACCGAAGUUUGUGAAGGUUGUUGAAGUUGGUCCAAGGGAUGGUCUGCAGAACGAGAAAAUUAUAGUACCCACGUCUGUAAAGGUGGAACUUAUUCAGAGAUUAGUUUCUGCUGGAUUGCCCGUUGUCGAGGCUACAAGCUUUGUAUCACCUAAAUGGGUUCCCCAGGUAAAAUGCUGUUUAUAUAUAUUGUAAUAAUAUUUGUUUGCUGUAGACAGACUGACUUUUAUAAAAUGAAAGUUAGUUACCAGUUAGAUGUUAGAAACAGUUUUAUUUCUGCGACAGACAGAUGAAACUAGUUUCUUUGACUGAAAACAUAAAUUUGUUACUGUUACUACUUGUAGCUUGCAGAUGCAAAGGAUGUAAUGGAUGGGGUAAAUGCUCUAGAUGGGGCUCGAUUGCCGGUUCUGACUCCGAAUCUAAAAGUGUGCUACAUUUUUUUUUCUCUCCAAUAAGAAUUCUUGUUUCUUAUUUUCGAACACCGACAUAGAAUAUGCUUUUGCUUCUUGUUAGGGCUUUGAAGCGGCUGUAUCUGCAGGUGCCAAGGAAGUUGCAAUCUUUGCAUCGGCUUCUGAGUCAUUCUCCUUGUCAAAUAUCAACUGUACCAUUGAAGAGAGUCUCUUGAGAUAUCGUGCUGUUGUCACCGCUGCAAAGGAGCAUUCCAUUCCUGUCCGUGGGUACGUUUCUUCUGCUUCUUUAUAUUUUAUAUAUAUAUAUAUAUAUAUAUAUAUGGUAUUUAUAUAUUAAAAUACAAUAAAUACUUAUAAAACAACACUUUAGUGACUUGACCGCUGGUCGGAUUCACGAUUAUACAAGUGUUUAACCAUUAGACCACUUAAAUUAACAUGUCAACUAAUAUAUUUUGUAUAUAUUUGAUUCAUAUAUUAAACGAGACCCCGAAACCGAACCGAAACCGAACUUAAACCGAACCGAAACCGAACCGAAAUUUCAUAAGUACCUAUUGGGUAUAAGAGUGAUUUAUCCAAUAUUCCUGGAACUGAAUGGUUGAACCAAAUACCCUAAUGCCCAGGACUAGUUUUGAUGGAUUGUAGUGGGCGAGAAAUAUAAGGAAUAACCUUUCCCCUUUACAGGCGGAUCACACAUUUAUUUGGGCAAUGCAAUGCAUGAAAAAUCUACAACAAUUCCAUGUGAUGUUUGCGACAGAUUGUUUUAAGUUGGUGAAGAUAGUUUAUGAACAUGAGAAUGGUCUGCUUUUGCUUCUUAUCUCGAAGAAAUACAACGGAUCAUAGAAAGUUUCUCAACUUUCACAAUCACGUAUGUAUCCCGGACUCAAAACACAAAGGCAUAUAGCUUAGCACGCGGUGCUCACAAUCAACCAUGACCCAAUUUGUCUUCAUAGACACGGAGUCCCUUCUUUGGUUUACAGAGUUUUAAUCGAGUCUAUUUAUGCUGAUAACAAAAUAAGAAGAAGAUGGAACUGCAUUUAUUAUCUUCUUUACCUCAAGCCGAUAAGUAUUAUCUAGUCGAUUAUGGUUUUCUAAAUAAAUAAAAUUUUACAAUUUGACUCCUUAUAGAUCUUCAUAGAUUGUACCUGUUGCACAUCAUAUCUUACAAUUUGAACUAGGUCUUCUUUCUAGAAUAUAUAUGUUAAGAAAAGAAUGGUAACAACAAUAAAAUCACAUAAUUUUAUUAGAAUGGUACCUCUAGUUUUACCUUUUUUUUGUUUUAGAUCUUUAAUUUACAUUCUUUGUAUUUUGACACAGUUAAAUAUGAUAAUUUGAUAUAUUAAUCUACCUAAUGUAUGAUAUGUUGAGGAAAAAAUGGUACCAGCAGCAAUAAAAUCACAUAAUUUAAUCAAAAUGGUACCUCUAGUUUUAUCUUCUUCUUUUUUGUUUGUUUUAGAUCUUUAAUUUACAUUCUUUAUAUUUUGACAUUCAAUUUGAUAUAAUAAUUUGAUUAGAUAGAUUUGUACUUGAUCAGUAUUUGUUCGGAAUGAUAUGUAUUACUAUUUGUUUGAUAUGCGUCAAUGUACGAACCUCUUUAUCUAAGUUACAGAUACAUCAUAUAUCACUAAAUUAUAUGAGUAACUGUCGGUGAUUGGUUGGUGCUUGGUAGUAGUAUAUGUGGGGGAGGGGACUGAGUCUACAGUGGCAUCUUUUACGUUUGUCUUGGAAAGAAAGGGACAGAGAAUCUAACCUUCGGAUUUGACGACAAUAUUAUUAAUGGAAGGGCCAAAAUUGUACCCCCUCCGUUUUAAAAUAUACGAUAUGUUGAAGAGUUUAAAAUAUUUCAAAAUAUUUGAUGUUUUGGUAUUUUUAUAUUAGUUUUAGUUUUACAGAAAAAUGACAUCAUCAAUGAUGUUUUAAGUUGUUUUUAUGAUUGGCUGAAUUAGUUUAACUUUAUAUUUUUAAUGUUACUUUUUAAGAAAAAGUGUAUGCUUUAAUUCUUGUGCAUUCACUUGAAACAUCAAGAAUUUUGAAGUAGAGGGAGUAUUCUUUUUAAAGAGAAAGAAAAGAAGAAAAAUAUUGGGACAAUGAUUUUUGGACUGCAAAGAAACUUUGAGAGAGAGGGAAAAUAAAGGAGCUUUAUAGAUCUCAGCUUCUCUUUUCAGAUCUGGUUAAGACCGGCGUGCGUGGGCUUACACAGCCACAACGUCAGUCUUAAUCCUUCGUUUAGCUUGCUUUUGGUGUUGGUUUUCUCGUGUUUGAUAGAGAUUUCUUCUUGGUGGUUGUGUGAUUACGGUGGGAGAGGUUUCCCGGUUCGAUCUCCGGUCAGAGCUAACUAAUCUACUUGAUUAUGACGAAGAAGACGCCGGAUCUGGUAGAGGUACGGAACAAUUCACCUGCAAAUGUCUUCUUCUCUGCAUUUUACUGAGCUUCUGUUAAGAUCUUGUUGUCCGGGGACCAAAUCCAUCAACUCUCGCCAUGUUUUGAGAUCUCUGCUCCGUUCAAAGGUGUUUAUGGCUUUAGAAAGGCUGAAUCUGAGGUGUCUUUGUUGGGAUUUUAGUGUCAAUCUUCUUUUACCUUCGUUCUAGCUUCGGUGUAAGCGGUGUGCGAUGGUGGCGUGGUGGUGUGUGGAAAACAGAACAUGUCUAACAUCUUUGAGAAGUUUCAGGUUGCUUGUCCCGCUCUAGGAAAGAGUCAUUGUCACGGCCUUUGGAUAAGUGUAUUUCUCGGUUUGUCUUUUGCUCUCGUG